rnacentral:rRNA from 1 species
AUACGGAGGGUGCGAGCGUUAAUCGGAAUUACUGGGCGUAAAGCGUACGUAGGCGGUUGGUUAAGUUAGAUGUGAAAGCCCCGGGCUUAACCUGGGAACUGCAUUUAAAACUGGCGAACUAGAGUUGAGUAGAGGGGAGUGGAAUUUCAGGUGUAGCGGUGAAAUGCGUAGAGAUCUGAAGGAACACCAGUGGCGAAGGCGACUCCCUGGACUCGAACUGACGCUGAGGUACGAACGCGUGGGUAGCAAACGGGAUUAGAAACCCCAGUAGUCC